UACGGAGGAUGCAAGCGUUAUCCGGAAUGAUUGGGCGUAAAGCGUCCGCAGGUGGCUAUGUAAGUCUGCUGUUAAAGAGUGAGGCUCAACCUCAUAAGAGCAGUGGAAACUACAUGGCUAGAGUGCGUUCGGGGCAGAGGGAAUUCCUGGUGUAGCGGUGAAAUGCGUAGAGAUCAGGAAGAACACCGGUGGCGAAAGCGCUCUGCUGGGCCGCAACUGACACUGAGGGACGAAAGCUAGGGGAGCGAAUGGG
rnacentral:rRNA from 1 species